GACGAACGCUGGCGGCGUGCUUAACACAUGCAAGUCGAACGGAAAGGCGCUGCUUUUGUGGGGUGCUCGAGUGGCGAACGGGGGAGUGAAACGUGAGUAACCUGUCCCUGACUUUGGGAUAAAUUCAGGGAAAUGGGGCUAAUACAGGGUAGGAGAUCUUGCAGCAUGGUGGGGGUUGGAAAGUGUCGGCGGUUGGGGCUGGACUGGCGGCUUAUCAGCCUGUUGGUGGGGUAGGCGCUUACCAAGGCUUUGAAGGGUAGCCGGCCUGAGAGGGCGAACGGGCACAAUGGGACUAAGAGAGGGCCCAGUAGCCUACGUGCGGCAGCAGUGGGGAACAUUGCAGAACGGGCGGACGCCUGAGGCAGCAACGCCGCGAGCGGGAUGACGGCCUUCGGGGUGUGAACCGAUUUCGCCUGAAACGAAGCGUGAGUGACGGUAAUGGGUAAAGAAGCACCGGCUAACUACGUG
rnacentral:rRNA from 1 species